UUGCACGCUGGCGGCAUGCUUUACCCCUGCAAGUCGCACGGCAGCGCGGGCUUCGGCCUGGCGGCGAGUGGCGAACGGGUGAGUAAUGCAUCGGAACGUGCCCAGUAGUGGGGGAUAGCCCGGCGAAAGCCGGAUUAAUACCGCAUACGACCUGAGGGUGAAAGCGGGGGACCGAAAGGCCUCGCGCUAUUGGAGCGGCCGAUGUCGGAUUAGCUAGUUGGUGGGGUAAAGGCUUACCAAGGCGACGAUCCGUAGCUGGUCUGAGAGGACGACCAGCCACACUGGGACUGAGACACGGCCCAGACUCCUACGGGAGGCAGCAGUGGGGAAUUUUGGACAAUGGGGGCAACCCUGAUCCAGCCAUGCCGCGUGCGGGAAGAAGGCCUUCGGGUUGUAAACCGCUUUUGUUCGGGAAGAAAUCCUCUGGGCUAAUACCCCGGGGGGAUGACGGUACCGGAAGAAUAAGCACCGGCUAACUACGUG
rnacentral:rRNA from 1 species